GACGAACGCUGGCGGCGUGCUUAACACAUGCAAGUCGAACGGAAAGGCCCUGCUUUUGUGGGGUGCUCGAGUGGCGAACGGGUGAGUAACACGUGAGUAAACUGCCCUUGACUUUGGGAUAACUUCAGGAAACUGGGGCUAAUACCGGAUAGGAGCUCCUGCAGCAUGGUGGGGGUUGGAAAGUUUCGGCGGUUGGGGAUGGACUCGCGGCUUAUCAGCUUGUUGGUGGGGUAGUGGCUUACCAAGGCUUUGACGGGUAGCCGGCCUGAGAGGGUGACCGGCCACAUUGGGACUGAGAUACGGCCCAGACUCGUACGGGAGGCAGCAGUGGGGAAUAUUGCAGAAUGGGCGGAAGCCUGAUGCAGCAACGCCGCGUGCGGGAUGACGGCCUUCGGGUUGUAAACCGCUUUCGCCUGUGACGAAGCGUGAGUGACGGUAAUGGGUAAAGAAGCACCGGCUAACUACGUG
rnacentral:rRNA from 1 species